rnacentral:tRNA from 1 species
GCGGGGAUGGUGGAAUGGCAGACACGCUAGCUUGAGGGGCUAGUGGGAGCAAUCUCGUGAGGGUUCAAAUCCCUCUCUCCGCACCA